UACGGGGGGGGCAAGCGUUGUUCGGAAUUACUGGGCGUAAAGGGCUCGUAGGCGGCCAACUAAGUCGGACGUGAAAUCCCUCGGCUUAACCGGGGAACUGCGUCCGAUACUGGAUGGCUUGAGUUCGGGAGAGGGAUGCGGAAUUCCAGGUGUAGCGGUGAAAUGCGUAGAUAUCUGGAGGAACACCGGUGGCGAAGGCGGCAUCCUGGACCGGCAUUGACGCUGAGGCGCGAAAGCCAGGGGAGCAAACGGG
rnacentral:rRNA from 1 species